rnacentral:rRNA from 1 species
UACGGAGGGGGCUAGCGUUGUUCGGAAUUACUGGGCGUAAAGCGCACGUAGGCGGAUUGCUAAGUCAGGGGUGAAAUCCUGGAGCUCAACUCCAGAACUGCCUUUGAUACUGGCGACCUUGAGUCCGGGAGAGGUGAGUGGAACUGCGAGUGUAGAGGUGAAAUUCGUAGAUAUUCGCAAGAACACCAGUGGCGAAGGCGGCUCACUGGCCCGGUACUGACGCUGAGGUGGCGAAAGCGUGGGGAGCAAACAGG